rnacentral:rRNA from 1 species
UACAGAGGGGGCAAGCGUUGUUCGGAAUUACUGGGCGUAAAGGGCGCGUAGGCGGCCCGCUAAGUCGAACGUGAAAUCCCCAGGCUCAACCUGGGAACUGCGUCCGAUACUGGCAGGCUUGAAUCCGGGAGAGGGAUGUGGAAUUCCAGGUGUAGCGGUGAAAUGCGUAGAUAUCUGGAGGAACACCGGUGGCGAAGGCGGCAUCCUGGACCGGUAUUGACGCUGAGGCGCGAAAGCCAGGGGAGCAAAGC